rnacentral:tRNA from 1 species
GGGCCUAUAGCUCAAUGGUUAGAGCGUGGGACUCAUAAUCCCUUGGUUCACAGUUCAAGUCUGUGUAGGCCCA